rnacentral:rRNA from 1 species
UUUUGGACAAUGGACGCAAGUCUGAUCCAGCCAUUCCGCGUGCAGGACGAAGGCCUUCGGGUUGUAAACUGCUUUUGUACGGAACGAAAAAGCUCUUAUUAAUACUAGGAGUCCAUGACGGUACCGUAAGAAUAAGCACCGGCUAACUACGUGCCAGCAGCCGCGGUAAUACGUAGGGUGCAAGCGUUAAUCGGAAUUACUGGGCGUAAAGCGUGCGCAGGCGGUUAUAUAAGACAGAUGUGAAGUCCCCGAGCUUAACUUGGGAACUGCAUUUGUGACUGUAUAGCUAGAGUACGGCAGAGGGGGAUGGAAUUCCGCGUGUAGCAGUGAAAUGCGUAGAUAUGCGGAGGAACACCGAUGGCGAAGGCAAUCCCCUGGGCCUGUACUGACGCUCAUGCACGAA